rnacentral:rRNA from 1 species
UGGAUUAGCGGCGGACGGGUGAGUAACACGUGAGUAACCUGCCUUAGACAUUGGGAUAGCCUCGGGAAACCGGGAUUAAUACCAAAUAAAAUCAUAAUGACACAUGUCAUAACGAUCAAAACUCCGGUGGUCUAAGAUGGACUCGCGUCCCAUUAGCUAGUUGGUAGAGUAAAAGCCUACCAAGGCGACGAUGGGUAGCCGGCCUGAGAGGGUGAACGGCCACAUUGGAACUGAGAAACGGUCCAA